UGGGGAAUUUUGGACAAUGGGGGAAACCCUGAUCCAGCCAUCCCGCGUGUGCGAUGAAGGCCUUCGGGUUGUAAAGCACUUUUGGCAGGAAAGAAACGUCAUGGGUUAAUACCCCGUGAAACUGACGGUACCUGCAGAAUAAGUACCGGCCAACUACGUGCCAGCAGCCGCGGUAAUACGUAGGGUGCAAGCGUUAAUCGGAAUUACUGGGCGUAAAGCGUGCGCAGGCGGUUCGGAAAGAAAGAUGUGAAAUCCCAGAGCUCAACUUUGGAACUGCAUUUUUAACUACCGGGCUAGAGUGUGUCAGAGGGAGGUGGAAUUCCGCGUGUAGCAGUGAAAUGCGUAGAUAUGCGGAGGAACACCGAUGGCGAAGGCAGCCUCCUGGGAUAACACUGACACUCAUGCACGAAAGCGUGGGGAGCAAACAGG
rnacentral:rRNA from 1 species